AUUGAACGCUGGCGGCAUGCCUUACACAUGCAAGUCGAACGGCAGCGCGGGAGCAAUCCUGGCGGCGAGUGGCGAACGGGUGAGUAAUAUAUCGGAACGUGCCCAUUAGUGGGGGAUAGCCCGGCGAAAGCCGGAUUAAUACCGCAUACGACCUGAGGGUGAAAGCGGGGGAUCGCAAGACCUCGCGCUAUUGGAGCGGCCGAUAUCAGAUUAGCUAGUUGGUGGGGUAAAGGCCUACCAAGGCAACGAUCUGUAGUUGGUCUGAGAGGACGACCAGGAGCACUGGUACUGAGACACGGCCCAGACUCCUACGGGAGGCAGCAGUGGGGAAUUUUGGACAAUGGGCGCAAGCCUGAUCCAGCAAUGCCGCGUGGAGGAAGAAGGCCUUCGGGUUGUAAACUGCUUUUGUCAGGGAAGAAAUCCUUUGGGCUAAUACCUCGGAGGGAUGACGGUACCUGAAGAAUAAGCACCGGCUAACUACGUGCCAGCAGCCGCCGUAA
rnacentral:rRNA from 1 species